rnacentral:sRNA from 1 species
AUUUGAAAAUGAAGAUCUUGUGAAACAUAAUUCAUUGUUCUCUAUUUUACCAUUUAAACUUUUUCACGUGUAUAAAGAACUUUUUGAGGUGGACGAUCUUCAGUUGGAUCACGGAUUCUGUCAUUGUUCUUUGGUCGAUUUUUGGAAAUUAAUAUCCCAUUAAUAUUUAAUUACUAUGGGGUUAAGUUUAUUAACAGGUUUUAGUUCAGAGUUUGUUUUACUAAAAACAUAGUUCAGAAUUUAAAAAUAGAUCUGACCAAAGCUGACGGUUUUUUUCAUUAAAUUCCCUUAAUA